AUGUGUACUCUGUUUACAUUACAGUUGUUUAUUAGUUUACUCGUUUGUUUUGCGACUGAUGAAAUGCUGGCAUAUAUAUAUUUUCAACAUUUGACAUAACCCUGUAUGUUUUGCAGGGACAACCCAGGACGUGCAUUUCUCAGCACCCAGUCAACUGCUAAAAGUGACUCAAACACAGGCCACCAGUGGAACUCUGCUGUACCACUGCAGUGCUGCGGAAAUUGCCUUCACCAGCGGCUUUGCAACAGCUGUUUCGCAGCAUGUCGGAGACAAUGCCUACGAAAUUAUUGGCCCUGAUCAUGAGAGCCCUCAAGGGGCAAACAACAUCUCUGUUGCAGAAGUGAGCCCGAUACCACUUGGAAGUUACCAUGACAGAUGACACGGCAGCAAUAGAUACAGAGACUGCCAUGUCUACUGCAGCUGCAACAGUGUACGAGGCAAGCAGCAGUGCGUCAGCAUCAGCAGCAGUGUCAGAAGGAACCACACCAGGCCUGGUAGAGCAACAUGUGUGCUAUCACUGACUUUUUUUGUAGUGGAUACAACUCAUUUGCUCAACAUACAAAAGCUUUUCACCACGACUGUGAGCCAGUGUUAUUGUGCAGCAAGUGCAAGACUAAGUUAGGUGUUAUAACACAGUACAAGCAUCACUUUAAUAUAUGCAAAUGCAAACAUAUUACAGUUGUUGCCUCCCCAGCCAGCCCACAUAGUGACAACAAUGUGGAACACAUGGUGGGACACACCUCUCCCUCAUUACAAGAUAGUAGAGACUGUCAGUGUUGUUGCUAGAUUGACUGGUCUUUGUAGGCAACUAGAAGGACAACACAGGUGUCAUAAGAUUGUUGUUGAUGUUGUUGUUGAAGAGGUAAAAAAGAAGUUUGAUGCAGCUGAAGUGCCAACUGAUAUUGAGCAAAUCAAAAGCAACCACCUGAGAAAGCAACACUAUCGAAAUUUGGGUAUCUAUGUGCCGCCAACUCUGGUAAGAAUGGCAUAGGACAGAAGUGUGAUGAAAAUCACACAGACACUGCUGUUGCAUCACUGGCCACAGUGAGCAGCGACUUGUAGGGCAAGAGA
rnacentral:lncRNA from 1 species